AGAGGAUGAUCUAAGAACUCGUU
rnacentral:snRNA from 1 species